CACAAAAGAUUGUUUUAUUGGUUGUGCACUUAUCGUUUUUAUCAAGGAACCAAGAUUCAUUUAUGUCUUUUACAAAAAGGGCAUACAAAAAGAGAUGCAGUAGGCGUAUUCAAAAGGAAUAUUAAAAAAUACUAGAAUUUUUAUCAGUACAUAUAGAAAAAAAAUUGAAUGUUGGAACUUCUAAAAGAAAUGAUUUCUUAUCUUGCGAAAAUCUAAAAGAAUAUUUUGACCAUCAUGAGUCAUUGAUUUUGUACAAUGAAUACUCUUAUGACCAAAAGCCUAAUGAGUAUAAGCAUAACCCAACUUUAAAGGAAAGUUUUUCUGCAUUUUUUUUUAACCAAGUAAUGUUGCACUAAACAAGUGAAUUGACAAAGAAUAGCAACAAAUUUAUUGUCCCAAAAAAACUAUAAUCAUGCACUGAAAAACAACCUUUCGUCAACAAAAGAAUGGCACAAAUUUCCAUUGAUAAAAUGUAAGAUAACAGAUGAUUCAUUUUCAUGUUGUGAAGAAUACAACUUUCUACAUCAGAUGAGAUAUGCUAAAGAAAGCAUUAAAAAUAAGAAUAACAAAUCAUACCGCUCUUCAUUGCCAGAACCUUCGCCACCUAUUAUGAAUAAGCCCAAUGCUAAAAAGUUGUUAUCAGAUUCAGAGAUUGAAGAAGAUGUUUUUUCUUCACAUUUUAUUGAUGAACACAAUAAAACUAAGCAAAGUUCACAUUGUCAAAGAGUUUCAAGUUUUAAUGCGAGUAGUUUUGGUUUUUUCACCACUGAAUGUUAAUGUGGAGGAGGAGAUAUCAAGAAUUGCUCUUGAGCCAAGCCCAAAGAAAAAUACACGAAAGUUAUCACCAGGGCUGUGGAGUCCGAGUUGCGGAGUUAAGACAUUUUCAGCGUAGUCAGAGUCGCUAAACAAAAUUGCGACUCCGACUCCAAUAGUAAAACUUCUCGGUAUUGUACGUGCAUGUACAAAACAUUCAAUUAACCUUAUGUUUAUACUAAACCUUAAAGAACGUUUCAUAAAUUUGUCAAAAAAGAAAUUUUUAACUUAUCCCGUAAUAUUUUUUAAAGAAUUUAAAAAUUUUUUCUAAAAUAAUGAUUUGGAGUUGUAAUCGAAGUUGAAGUCGGAGUCGGAGAUGUGCUCAAAAAAUUUCAACAACUGGAGUCGGAGUUGGAGUUGUACUUAAAAAGUUUCAACAACUGGUGUCGGAGUCAUUACUUUUUUUUUACAACUCUACACCCCUGGUUAUCAGUAACGGUUUGACAUAAAUCUGAAUAUUAUUUGUUGUUGUUUAUUUGUCAAAAUUAAAUAAGAAUUUCUGUAAAACUUGAAUGUUUAAUUUAUUUUCAGCGGGUUUACCUAUAACUUAAGUGGAUUAUUUUUUUAUUAGAUUAUUAUUGCAAAGUAUUUUAUUUAGUCAAAAUUAUUUUUUACUAGGUUUCCAAUCUGCCUCUCUUGCCUUUGUCUGAUUCUACAGAUAAAAUUUAGCUGAUUUAAAAAGUAGGUUUUCCAAAAUAUUAUGGCAACUUCUGCAAUGGAGUAAUAAAAAAAAAAACAUGUAAUUUUGGAAUUUUAGUUUGAGUUACUCAAGUAUAAUUUGAAUAUUAAAGUUGUUAUUGCAUUGUUUUGCUUUUUGGUUAUGAGCUAAAUAUGUUAAUCAAUCUUUUUAUUCUUGUUUGUAAAGAUGCAAAAUGUUAUUCUCAAGGAGCUUGCAGAAAUAAAAGUUCUUUUAAAAAAAGUUAUAGAAAAUAAGUUUCAGGCUACUGGGGUGAAGUUGCUAGAAUCAGUGGACGAAGUGGUUACACUGGAUAAUAAACUAAAAGAUAAAACCGAGUAAACUAAUUAGCUUGAUAGUUUGAAAAAAAUUGGUGGUGGAAAACCAAGAGAACAUGUUUUUUUGAUCAUGAAAAGGUUAUUUUCUAUCAGUUACAGUCCAAAUUAAAUUGAAAAGGAAAUGGGGAAAAGAUAAGCUUAGAAAAUCUAGUAAAUAUAUGAAGUGUUUUACGAGAUAUCGGCGACGUGAAAGAAGAUAUUGACGGCAAUGCAGAAAUAUAGUUUUUUAUGUAUAUUUUUAUGAAAUAAAAUUAAGUAAUUUUA